CCUACGGGGGGCUGCAGUAGGGAAUCUUCCGCAAUGGACGAAAGUCUGACGGAGCAACGCCGCGUGAGUGAUGAAGGUUUUCGGAUCGUAAAGCUCUGUUGUUAGGGAAGAACAAGUGCAAGAGUAACUGCUUGCACCUUGACGGUACCUAACCAGAAAGCCACGGCUAACUACGUGCCAGCAGCCGCGGUAAUACGUAGGUGGCAAGCGUUGUCCGGAAUUAUUGGGCGUAAAGGGCUCGCAGGCGGUUUCUUAAGUCUGAUGUGAAAGCCCCC
rnacentral:rRNA from 1 species